ACUUGAAUAGCUUAUAUUUAGAGCGCGACACUGAAGAUGUCGAUGAGGCAUACUAUGCCUUUAAGUA
rnacentral:tRNA from 1 species